rnacentral:rRNA from 1 species
UACGGGGGGGGGGCAAGCGUUGUUCGGAAUUACUGGGCGUAAAGGGCUCGUAGGUGGCCAACUAAGUCAGACGUGAAAUCCCUCGGCUUAACCGGGGAACUGCGUCUGAUACUGGAUGGCUUGAGUUCGGGAGAGGGAUGCGGAAUUCCAGGUGUAGCGGUGAAAUGCGUAGAUAUCUGGAGGAACACCGGUGGCGAAGGCGGCAUCCUGGACCGAUACUGACGCUGGAGGAGCGAAAGCCAGGGGAGCAAACGGG